rnacentral:rRNA from 1 species
GAUGAACGCUAGCGGCAGGCCUAAUACAUGCAAGUCGAGCGGAUAACCUUCGGGUCAUUAGUGGCGCACGGGUGCGUAACGCGUAAGCAACCUACCUACUACUGGGGGAUAGCCCUGGGAAACCGGGAGUAAACCCGCAUGGUAUCACUGACCUUCCUGGGUUGAUGAUUAAAGAUUUAUUGGUAGUAGAUGGGCUUGCGUUGGAUUAGCUAGAUGGCGGGGUAACGGCCCACCAUGGCGAUGAUCCAUAGGGGCUCUGAGAGGAGCGGCCCCCACACUGGCACUGAGACACGGGCCAGACUCCUACGGGAGGCAGCAGUAGGGAAUAUUGGGCAAUGGACGAAAGUCUGACCCAGCCAUGCCGCGUGCAGGAUGAAGGCGCUCAGCGUUGUAAACUGCUUUUGAUAGGGAAGAACGGCCUUCUUGCGAGAAGGUGUGACGGUACCUACAGAAUAAGCACCGGCUAACUCCGUGCCAGCAGCCGCCGUAAUAC